GACGAACGCUGGCGGCGUGCUUAACACAUGCAAGUCGAACGGUAAGGCCCUUCGGGGUACACGAGUGGCGAACGGGUGAGUAACACGUGGGUGAUCUGCCCUGCACUUCGGGAUAAGCCUGGGAAACUGGGUCUAAUACCGGAUAGGACCACUGCCUGCAUGGGUGGUGGUGGAAAGCCUUUGCGGUGUGGGAUGGGCCCGCGGCCUAUCAGCUUGUUGGUGGAGUGAUGGCCUACCAAGGCGACGACGGGUAGCCGGCCUGGGAGGGUGACCGGCCACACUGGGACUGAGAUACGGCCCAGACUCCGACGGGAGGCAGCAGUGGGGAAUAUUGCACAAUGGGCGCAAGCCUGAUGCAGCGACGCCGCGUGAGGGAUGACGGCCUUCGGGUUGUAAACCUCUUUCAGCACCGACGAAGCGCAAGUGACGGUAGGUGCAGAAGAAGGACCGGCCAACUACGUGCCAGCCGCCGCGGUAACAC
rnacentral:rRNA from 1 species